CAAGCGGUGGAGCAUGUGGUUUAAUUCGAAGCAACGCGAAGAACCUUACCAGGUCUUGACAUCCCGAUGCUAUUUCUAGAGAUAGAAAGUUACUUCGGUACAUCGGUGACAGGUGGUGCAUGGUUGUCGUCAGCUCGUGUCGUGAGAUGUUGGGUUAAGUCCCGCAAUGAGCGCAACCCCUAUUGUUAGUUGCCAUCAUUCAGUUGGGCACUCUAGCGAGACUGCCGGUAAUAAACCGGAGGAAGGUGGGAUGACGUCAAAUCAUCAUGCCCCUUAUGACCUGGGCUACACACGUGCUACAAUGGUUGGUACAACGAGUUGCGAGUCGGUGACGGCGAGCUAAUCUCUUAAAGCCAAUCUCAGUUCGGAUUGUAGGCUGCAACUCGCCUACAUGAAGUCGGAAUCGCUAGUAAUCGCGGAUCAGCACGCCGCGGUCGAAUACGUUCCCGGGCCUU
rnacentral:rRNA from 1 species